rnacentral:lncRNA from 1 species
GCUGUGGUGCCAUACCUGCAGCUUCCUUAUUAAUCUUCCUUUUCUUGUUGCUUUUGUCCUUAGAGGUGGUGGCUAAAUGAGCACUUUCUGUCUUUUCAUGCUUCAGUCUUUCCUCUUCCUGGACACAGUGUGAGAUGAGCUCAUUAAGGGACCAUGAGUCCUUUUGACAGUUGUAGCUCACCUUGAAUUGACUGAAAUGUGUCGGAAGGGAUAUCAGAACAAAGUGCACUAACAAGUCUUCAGAUAAAUCCAACUUGAGUGCCUUUAGUUUUGAAGCAAUGUGAGACAUUUCCAUAAUGUACUCCCGAAUGUUUCCUUUCCCUUUAUACCUCAUUGAGACAAGAUUUGCCAAAAGUGUACUUGUUUCAGCCUUUUCAGUCUUGGCAAACCUCUUCUCAAGGCCCUCA